CGCUGUACGAAUUUUCAGCCAACUCAAACUGCUUUAAGUAUUCAUAUUUACUCCCUGUAAUUAUAGAAUGGAAUAAAUUAGACAAAGAAUCAUUAACACUGAGUCGUUAAACAGUUCUGUAUCCUUAUUAGAAAAAGCACUGCUUGCAUAUCAGUUACAAUAACUAGUGUUACCUUCUUUUUCUCCUUUUAGCAUGUUAUCUUUGUUGCCCGGCCUGUAAUACAUAAUGCCUACGCUCGCUUUAUUUACGACGAUUUUAUUUAUUCUGAGUUCUCUUUCUACUUAUUUCUUAGUUUCUUCCAGCGUACAUAUGUACUAUUUAUGAUUGCAUCUGUACUGCAUUGUUAUGCUGCUCUAGUUCGACGCUAUAAUGUAAUAUAUGUACCAUCGACACACUUAGGAUAACUAAAUCUUGUUAACUGAUAUUACAGUGCUUAUGUUUCAAAGUCUCCGCACUGCGUUGUGUUACACUUGACCAUAGUGUAUUGUAAGUUUGCCUGUUUUCAUUCGCGACUUGGCGCUGCACUUGAUUCCGUGUGCCGCCUGCUACGAUCUCGCAAGAGAUUGGCAGUAUUGCAAAUAAAUAAAAUAUUACUGCUGAACGAGUUCCCUCUUUUAGCACAAGAUAUCGUUCGAGGUGACAUUUACACGUGGUGUGAAACGCGAUUUCUUUCUUAUUUUCUUCCCUUCUUUACUUCCAGUUUUUUUUUCUUCGUUUUUGUCGUGUUUGACUGGGUGUGUGUGUGUGUGUACGCUCCACUGCUCACUGUACAUCGGGGUGGCCGUACGCGCCUGCCGGCCCAGUGGCAACUGUCCACGCCACGCGUACACAACCCACUCCACGCGUUCCCGCGAGCCAUUAAUGCCGCACCACUUUUCCUUUCGCCUCGUUUACGCCUUCCGAGAGAGCGUCAGAGCCGACGGGACACACGCAGUGUCGUCGCCGCUACAGCCGUGCUGCAGCUCGGGCGUGACCGGGCGAAGCAGCGAAAAGGCCCUACUCUUGUAACAGCAACUCACGCCGGCGCCAGCGGCUGCUGCUGCUGCUGCUGCAUUGUCUUUAAGCGCUGAGAGCCUCGUUCUUCUUCCCGCUUCGGUUAUUUUUUGUUUUUCCUUCCUAGAUUCGCUUUCGACGACGGUGCUAUAGUAUACAGUCGUUGCCCGUCGCCGAGCGGAGCUUCCCAGCAGGACAAUGCGACGCGACACCGCUGAUUUUUUUGAUCUUGUGCGCGCUGUUCUUUCGAGCGACGAAAGUGGCACAGCCCGCUCGGUGUUGCCGGAGGUGAGAGAAGAAGGAAACAGAGGAAGACUCGGAGGACGAAGUACAGUUGACAAUGUGUUUUUUUUUUCUUCCUUGCUGAUGUAUCGAUGUCAGGCGUACGGAGCAAACGACGCGCACGAGUCCACGUCUUAUCUGCGCGCACUUUCCCUUUCUUCCAUUCUUUGGGCGUGCGACCCAUUUUCUAUUUGGAUCCUUCUACACGGAUUCUUCUGGAUGGCGGAAACAAAGUAGCAGCCUUUAUCGAUAACAGGAUUUCGCCGUUAUAUAUGCGGAAUGGCAUUGUCUGGCUGCAAGACAUUAGGAUCGCUUAAAAUAGAAAGAAAGAAAUAUUUACUAAAGCACUGGAGGGGUGCUUGUUUCAGCGGAGACCUGAUACAACAAAAGUUCUGCUCAUCGAUAUCAAUGCAUUUCUAGGAACUCAUACGCUCAAUGGGAUAAUUGACAAUUGAUGGUGACACGUGGUUGGGACUGACACAUGGUUUGGGACUGCAACAAGAAUCCACGGACAACGCCUAGCGAAGCGCCAACCGAAGAAUAGUGGGAGGCCCUGCUGAGAAGCCCAAGUCCUGAGUACCAGCUACGGCUGAUGAACAGGUCUAGGCUAUCAGCACAGGGCCAUGGCUACUUGGAAAAGGGUGGCCGCCCUCCUUCGGGCAUCAACAGCUUGGUCUCUGAAAUAAAGUUUAUUCCCUCACUCGA